rnacentral:rRNA from 1 species
AUUGAACGCUGGCGGCGGGCCUAACACAUGCAAGUCGAACGAGUGGCGGACGGGUGAGUAAUGUGUGGGAAACUGCCUGCUGGAGGGGGAUAACUACUGGAAACGGUAGCUAAUACCGCAUACCAUCAGAUGUGCCCAGAUGGGAUUAGCUUGUUGGUGGGUUAACGGCUCACCAAGGCGACGAUCCCUAGCUGGUCUGAGAGGAUGACCAGCCACCCUGGAACUGAGACACGGGCCAGACUCCUUCGGGAGGCAGCAGUGGCGAAGUUUGCACAAUGGGCGCAAGCCUGCUGCAGCCAUGCCGCGUGUUUUAAGUAUUCCUUCGGGUUUGGAAGUCCUUUCGUCGGGGAGGCGUUACCCGCACAAAAAGCACCGGCUAACUGCGCGCCAGCAGCCGCGGUAAUAC